rnacentral:rRNA from 1 species
GACGAACGCUGGCGGCGUGCUUAACACAUGCAAGUCGAACGGAAAGGCCCUGCUUUUGUGGGUUGCUCGUUUGGCGAACUGUUGAGUAACACGUGAGUAACCUGCCCUUGUCUUUGUUAUAACUUCAGGAAACUGGUGCUAAUACCUGAUAGGAUCUCCUGCUGCAUGGUGGUCUUUGGUAAGUUUCGGCGGUUGGGGAUUGUCUCGCGGCUUAUCAGCUUGUUGGUGGGGUUGUGGCUUACCAAGGAUUUGACGGGUAUCCGGCCUGAGAAGGUGAACGGAAACAUGGGGACUGAGAUAGGGACCAGUAUGCAACGGGAGGCAGCAGUGGGGAAAAUUGCAAAAAGGGCGGAAGCCUGAUGCAGCAAGGCCGGGAGCGGGAUGACGGCCUUCGGGUUGAAAACAGAUUUAGCAUGUGACGAAGAGGGAGUGACGGUAAUGGGUAAAGAAGCACCGGCUAACUACGUG